GAUGAACGCUGGCGGCGUGCCUAAUACAUGCAAGUCGAGCGAACGGACGAGAAGCUUGCUUCUCUGAUGUUAGCGGCGGACGGGUGAGUAACACGUGGAUAACCUACCUAUAAGACUGGGAUAACUUCGGGAAACCGGAGCUAAUACCGGCUGAUAUUUUGAACCGCAUGGUUCAAAAGUGAAAGACGGUCUUGCUGUCACUUAUAGAUGGAUCCGCGCUGCAUUAGCUAGUUGGUAAGGUAACGGCUCACCAAGGCAACGAUGCAUAGCCGACCUGAGAGGAUGAUCGGCCACACUGGAACUGAGACACGGUCCAGACUCCUACGGGAGGCAGCAGUAGGGAAUAUUCCGCAAUGGGCGAAAGCCUGACGGAGCAACGCCGCGUGAGUGAUGAAGGUCUUCGGAUCGUAAAACUCUGUUAUUAGGGAAGAACAUAUGUGUAAGUAACUGUGCACAUCUUGACGGUACCUAAUCAGAAAGCCACGGCUAACUACGUG
rnacentral:rRNA from 1 species